UACGUAGGGAGCAAGCGUUGUUCGGAUUUACUGGGCGUAAAGGGCGCGUAGGCGGCAAAUUAAGUCAGCUGUGAAAUCUCCGAGCUUAACUCGGAACUGUCAGCUGAUACUGAUCUGCUAGAGUGCGGAAGGGGCAAUCGGAAUUCUUGGUGUAGCGGUGAAAUGCGUAGAGAUCAUGAGGAAGACCAGUGGCGAAGGCGGGUCUCUGGACAGUUCCUGACACUGAGGCACGAAGGCCAGGGGAGCAAACGGG
rnacentral:rRNA from 1 species